AGUUUGGUAGCCUAAGUGGUUUGAACAUCUGCCUCUGAUGCAGGAAGUCAUGAGUUCAAAUCCCACCCAUAUCA